AACCUUUUCUAAUAGCUGUUGCUUCUGUUCUCUGGAACCUCUUUAAGCCUAAGAUCAGACACAAAGACUGAGUUCUGGGACCGUGAUUCUGUUUUGUCCUUGAAGUAUGAAGCUGGUGACUGGAGUAACUGUGUUUCUGACCUUGGGGAUUCUGAUUGAUGCUAAGACCGCCCAGCCCAACUCCAUGGAUUAUGCUGAAGGAGAAGAUGUAAACCUGCCUUGUAACCACUCUACCAUCAGUGGAGAGGAGUAUAUACAUUGGUAUCGGCAAAAUCCCAGUCAGAGUCCACAGUAUAUAAUUCACGGCUUACGAAACACUGUGAACAACAGCAUGGCCUCUCUGACCAUCGCAACAGACAGAAAGUCCAGUACCUUGAUCCUGCCCCAGGUCACCCUGAGAGAUUCUGCUGUGUACUACUGCAUCGUGAGAGGGGCACAUUGGGACAGAUGGGGCUGCACCUGUGCACUAUCUCCCUGGACAUCAGUCAUUUCUGAUUCACCACGUACUGCUCUGGAUUACCCUCUGAUGUCUCUUUGA